rnacentral:lncRNA from 1 species
ACUACAUUCUCAUGACUCACUGUUAUGUAACGAGCAGCAAGUUGAUUGCAACUGCUCUGGAUACCUGGCAGAAGAACUUAAGGACACACAAAAAGGUACCUACAAAAUCCUGAAGCAGAGGUGGGUCAGUUGUGUACACUUCAGUUCCAGACAUUUGUUAGAGAUGGAUAUGGACAAAAUGGCACCUGCACUAUUCUGGUACCUGUGAACCCUGUGGCAUGCUGGCUUAGCACUUAGGCCACCAGACAAGAACGGCACCACUCUGCUUGAGGAAUGAGCUCUUCACACUAACUGUUCACAGCACCAUUCUGAAAUGUCUUUGUCUGAGGCAAAGCUGCCCUGAGGAUGUUAAUACUGCAAUUCACAGACCUUUUGUUAGGCAAUAAGACCCAAAAUGACCUUUUCUACCUAGAUCUGCUGCUGCCAAAGAGAAUGAUCCAGAGAUCUUUGGAGCAGUGUAUGCACUUAGACUAUAGUAGCAAGAAAUCCAGGAUGCUGUAUAGAAGACAAUGUCUACAGAAGAUUUUGAGCUCCUGAGAGAAUGGCCCUAAGUACGUUCAGCAGGCACUAAUAAAGCCUGGCCUUUAUAUGCAUGGAGUUGGCUUGCCUGGAUUCAAGUCCCAGCCCCACCACAGCUUGAUACUCAACCUUGGGUGAAUGUUCCACUGAAGUGCACCAGGUGGUCUUCUGCUAUUAUACAUAAUACCACAAUGAACAUCUUUUAACAUGUAGAAAUGAUUAUGUACUUAUAUGAUUAUAUCUGUAGAGAGAAUGUCUAAAAGUGAAACUCUUCACUAUAAGGUUAGGCAAAUUUUAAAUGUUCAUGUAUAUUGCUAAACAGCCCUCCCGAGAGGCUAUACCAAAUUUGUACUCCAGGCAGUAUGUGUAGAUAUUUCUCCACACUUCUUUCUAUACUAUUCACUGGCAAUUUUAAUUUUUUAAUCUUUAUCAGUCUCAAAAGUGAAAGGAGAAAUUUGACUUCAAUUUGCACUUUAAUUUUUUGUAGACACCCAUCUUUUCACAUGUUAGUAGCCAUUCAUUAGCUUAUGCAUACUUCAUUCCCCAUUUUCUAUUGGAUACCUGGUGGGUUUUUUUAAAUUGAUUUAUAAAGUACCUGGUAGAUUAACAUCUUUGUAAAAGCAGAUCAUUUUGGAAAAUAAUUCUGAUUAAUUUCAGCCAUGAUGAAUAUUUAUAAUUUUGAGAAUUUUAUGGCAAUUGGCAUUACUAAAUGAAAAAUGAUAAACCCUCCCCAGGGAUGAAUAGUGAAAGGAUAUCAUCUAAGUUAUUACAACAAUAAUCAUUGAAAUAAUCCAGAUUACAUGUAAGGCACAAUGCAAAGAGGUCCAAGGUGUGAUCUCUGCCAUGAAGACAUUCACAGUAAAGAAGAGAUGAUGCAUUCACAUGAAUUGAUAAUAAUCUGAGACAAUAAAAGAAAUGAGUGAUAUGACCAUCAAUACUCUAGGAAUUGAGGAAAGAAAGCUAAUUUUCACUGGUGUGGCUAAAGAAUAUUACUUGAAAGAGGACACAUGCUUGAAUAGACAGAGAGAAAGAUUUCAAGAGUAUAAAAGUGAGAAGCAAAGAGAGGAAAGAGUAAAUAGACAAAGGUGAAUGGGUUAGAGGCUUGGAUGAGGGGACAGGGGAAAGUCUAUAUGGGGAAAGGUGAAUUGGAGUCAAACCACUGAAGGGCUUGGGUAUCUGGUUUAGCUUGGAUUCUGUGCUAUAGGAGCAAAUGAAUGUUUUUGACAAGAGCAUUGAAAUAACAAAAAUAAUUUUUAGGAUGAUAACUUUGGCCAGUGAAAAAUAAAUGAAGAAAUGAAUGAAUGGAAAAUAUUGAGUUGGGACAGGGGAUGACUAUUGCAUUUAUACUUUCUGUAAGAGAACCAACAAUUUAGAGGAAAAGUGGUUUAUAUUUUCUUUAAUUUAUAAUACAUAAAACUGCUAUGGAACUAAUGCUACAUAAUGUUACCUGAGAAAAGAAGACUGAUCCAUACCCAGAAUUCUUUGUGUAUAUGUUGAAGAUUCCAGGGCAGUGCCUUUUUCUAAACCUGUGAUUCAGCUUUCAUACCCCUCCACUUACUCAUUCUAAUGACAGUAAGCAUUUCUUUGUUGGGUCUGGAAUUCAUAGCAGUUUUUUCACAGACCUAGAAGUCCCAAACAUGCUAUUGUCAUUACACCUCAUCUGUCAUCCUAAGGAAUGGCUUUAUUUAUUAUUGUGAUUUGGAGAAAUAAGGUGAUUGCAGACGGGGCUUAGAAUAAUGAUAGGAAGGUGUUGGCUUCAUAGAACCAGAAAUUCCUUUCUUACUUCAUUUCCCGUCCAUGUUGGUAAGGGAUAGGUAAUUGAUCUGAAAGCCCCCUGUACUGUAAAUGCAGCAUUCAUUCAACAAGUAUUUAUUAAGCAACUACAAUGUGUCAGGCACUGUGCAAAGCACUGGGGAACAUAUAUCACUGACUGGAGGAGAGUUUAAAAAAUAGAGCCAGUCUUUGCUGUUACAGUCUGAUGGGACAAAUAUAAACAAAGCCACAUUCUAUUACUGCUCCUCCUCACAGGUGACAAGGGGCAGAGAUCGUCUCUCAAAAUUUUCCCACAUGUAAUAACCCUAUUCUGUUGUUAGGGUUCUGAAAAACCCAUCUCUAGUUAAUUCCAUGUAUUCCAAUGUGUACUGAGGUAUAAUUCACUUCUGACUGGCCUAAGAGAAUAAAGGAUUCAAAUAAUAAUAUCUGGCAAACACUGCAAAAUACCAGACAUGCUAGUGGCCAUGGGGAUCACCAAAGAGUAAAACAUGGAACCAAACUAUAGAAUUGCAGAGAUACAGUAAGUGCAUUUGAAAAAGUAAACUUUUUAAUGUGGGAGAUAAGUGCUAACUAGAUAACACAAACAGUAUGUGUUCUGGGAACUUAGAAAAGCAAGCAUCACUUUCAGAAGGCACUGUGCCUCAAAGGAUGGGUUGGGUUUGAAUAGGUAGAGGACUAAGGUGGUGUCUGUGGGAGUUAGUGACAGCCCUUCAAGUAUCAAGGAGGAAAGCCCAAUACAAAUUGACUUCUGCAGAAGGAGUGGUCCUGGGCACCCCAGCAUGGCUGCAGUCAUGGGGUCUUACAAUUUAAAUUGGUUUAUCUUUAUCUCUCCAUCUCAAGGUUCUGCUUUCCUCUGCACUAGCUUUAGUCCUGGACUGACUGUCUCUCUGUGGUAGCUGCCAGGCUUACAUCUUGUUCCCUUAACCAUCCAAAACAUAGACAGUUUCUCUUUCCCAAGAGUUCUAAAUGAACUCCUGUGAUUUACCCUGAUUAAACCAACUUAUAUCAUCUUCCCACUGCUGAGUCGAUCUCUAUAACUAGGCGGGUAGAAUUCACAGAUUGGCUAGGCCUGGGUUAAGCCUCCACCCCUGGAACACAAGCAGGUGGGGUCAGCCCCAUCUAAACCCUACUAGAAGAAGAGCAAGAAAGUGGUAGCACCCCAGAGAAAAAAGUUAUGCUGUAAUUAGAAAAAUAACAACAAUCAUCAUCAUUAUUGCAAACACUCUAUAAUAAAAAACUUAGUAUGAACUGGGUACUGUUCUAACCAACUUUUGUAGGUUACUUAUUUUAUCCUAACAUCCCUGUGAGGUGGGUAAUCUUAUCCCAUUUUCAGAUGGGGAAACUGAAGCAUGGAGCUGUUAAGUAAUUAUCACAUAGCUAGUAAAGGGCAGAUCAGGGGGGGUGAACACAAGCCAUCAGACUGCAAGUCCAUGGCCUUACCCACUACAGCAUAUUAAAAUUAAUUUCUAUACACAGAGAAAACAAGUUAUGACUUAAGCUCAAAAAUGAACAAAGUAUAUGAAGAACAAUGAGAAGAUGGGCAGAUCAGAAAGACGGUAAUUUUGGUCUACUAUCACAGCUAUAGAAACAAUAUCCAGGAAGCUGACAGGUUGUGCCAUCUUCAUUAAGAGGUCAAGUUCUGACUAGAUCCAGGCGAUCAUCAACUGAACUUCCAAGGGGAAUGGAAUGGUCACCACAGAAAACUCAACUAUUCCCCAAAGGCUAUUCCAGCUCAAUCUUCUCAACAGCUUGUGGUUCACACUUUUAUACAAUUUACCAAGGACUGAUUUCACAUCUACGUCUGACUCUCUCUCUCUCUCCUGCUCUGAAACAGCAUUCAUGCAACAUAUAUAGAUCUUAGUUAAAACUAACAAUGCGUCUAAAAACACACACGAAAUCAAACAAUUGCCAUUUGGCACUGAGAAACAGCAGAUCCAGGCUUGAGUCUGUUUAUUGUGCAUUUCCUGAUGCAAAGAAAAGCAAGCACAGUCAAGAAAACACCACAAAGCAUUAUAUGGCGACAGCUUGUGUGCUUCAGAAGAGAAAUGGAUACAUUAGGAAAAGUUUUUCUCCCUUUGAUGUAGAAUAUGCUAUCUUUUUUUGCAUUAAAAUGGGAGUUAACUUUAAAUAAAUAAAAUUCAGCCUGUAGGCUUCAGAAAACUAAUGCUCUCUUUUGACAGUGUCAUUUCUCUGAUCCCUGAAAGCAUUAUGGGAGUUAACCUGGGCCUUCAUCAUGCUUUUCCUUUAUGGUAUGGAGAGCACAUUAUUUUUUCAUCUCUCUUUUACUGGUUUCCUCUUACUUCCUCUCACAUUUUCUCUUUGCCAGCUGUUACUCUGCCCUUUCUGCUUCUCCAAGCGCUAUGAGGGCAGGUAGAGAAGGAGUUUCUCCUGUGUCUUUGUUGCAGGUGGUCCAGGAAUGGCUGCCUUAGUGCUCCAUCCUCAGAAGAAAACCUCUUCACUGCUUGCUUUAAAAUGCAUAUAUAUUUAUGCCAAAGGCCCUAGACCUGCCCUCAAGAAAAGAUGAGAAUGAGCCUCACAUUCCUACGAUGAAGCGGUGGAAAAAUCUGCAAUUUGUACUUAGCACAUCUUUAACUGGACUUAACAAUGUGCCCCCUCCAUUCAGGAUACAGCAUGCAUGAGCCUGGUAGAUGAUGAAACUGCUGUUUUCUUUUGUGGUUUGUAUUUUCCCAAAGAGCCUUGAAUAGUCAAAUAUCAGGUGAUUUGAACCCGCUAGAAUAUGGCAAUGAAAUGAAGUCUUUUUUCUUUGAAACAAAAUUAUUUUAGGUAAGUGAGUAUGUAGAAAUCUCAAAUAAGGUGUGGUAUUCAACAAAAGAAAAAACACUGAUAACAAGUGUUUUUACCCUUGUAAUUGUCCAUUUUGGUCAUUCUUAGUGUUCUAGCAAUUGCUUUUAAAAAUGAGUGUAUUUGAAACAUGCAAUACUACAACUGGAGAAAGAAAAUCCUUUAAUAUAAAAAGUUGCCACGAUUAAAGAGUUUUG